rnacentral:Y_RNA from 1 species
GGCUGGUCUGAGUACAGUGGUGUUUACAACUAAUUGAUUACAACUAAUUAGUUUACAACUAAUUGAACAAGCAGUUAUAGAUUCUUUUGUUCCUUCUCCACUCCUACUGCUUCACCUGACCAGCCUAAA